rnacentral:rRNA from 1 species
UUAAAUUGAAGAGUUUGAUCAUGGCUCAGAUUGAACGCUGGCGGCAGGCCUAACACAUGCAAGUCGAACGGUAACAGGAAGAAGCUUGCUUCUUUGCUGACGAGUGGCGGACGGGUGAGUAAUGUCUGGGAAACUGCCUGAUGGAGGGGGAUAACUACUGGAAACGGUAGCUAAUACCGCAUAACGUCGCAAGACCAAAGAGGGGGACCUUCGGGCCUCUUGCCAUCGGAUGUGCCCAGAUGGGAUUAGCUUGUUGGUGGGGUAACGGCUCACCAAGGCGACGAUCCCUAGCUGGUCU